rnacentral:rRNA from 1 species
AUGACGCCGACCCGCCACUCGCCGGCCGUGGUGGCCGCCGCGCUCCUCCUCGCCGUCCUGGCCAGCGGCCGGCGUGGCGCCGAAGCGGGGGGCGACGAGAGCGACUGCAGCGUCGCGCAGACGGCCUUCAGCGAGUGCACCGGGUACGUGGCCGGCCUGGACGAGGAGAUCCCGCCGCAGUGCUGCCAGGGGCUGAGCGACGUCAAGGACCUGGCGCCGGGCGCCGACCAGCGCCGGGACCUCUGCGCGUGCCUCCUGUCGGAGAUGCUCGCCGCCGGCAAGGUCGACUCCGGCCGCGCCGCCGGCCUCCCGUCCGCGUGCGGCCUCAGCGUCGGGUUCCUCCCCACCAGCCCCGACUUUGACUGCUCCCAGUACGUACCUUGUUUUGUUCGUCCUUCCAUCAGCUGCUUUCUCAAGUUUUGUGUGUCACCGAACGAAAAUUCUGAAUUUCCUUGCAGGAUCCCCUGA